AGGGGGUUGUCCUAGGGAGGAACCAAACAUGCUCUUGUCAGUUCGGGGAGUGGGUCAGGACUCUUAGGAAGCCGCCAGAUCAGUAGAGGUCACUCUGAGGAACCCACCAAGACAGGAAGCCUCCCCAGGCCCUGAGGCUCGAGCUAAGCCUGGACACCACAGCACACUCCGGGAGCUUGCAGGCUGAGCUGCUGGGAGACCCUGCUCCUGACUCUGGUCCCGGCACCGGCAUUCGCACUGGGGAAGGACCCGCACAGUCACUGUAUCAGUGAAGCCCAGGGCCCGGAUGACAAAGGACUGCUCCUGGAUGCACUCUGAAGCUGUGACCUUUACUUGGAAGCUGUGACCGGGAGUGGGUCACCAAGAUCUCCCCAGGUCCCUCCAACAUGCUGAUGUGGGAACCCCAGGUCUCUCAGCAGGCCAGGCUCACCGGGAUGCCGAUCUGCACACCAUCACAGUCCCCUCGAGAUUUGUCGAUACUUGAUGCUCCGCUACUGCAGAAGGAGUCGUAGAAGCUAUGAGGAUCCCAGCAGAACCCCGAACCUGACAAGGUGUUCUACCCUCCCACUCAUCUGCUGAUCCAGGGGGGCUCUGCCAGCCCACCCAGCUCUGCUGGAGACUCACGUAGUAGGCGUUCUUGAUGAGCUGCACCACGUUGCUGGAGUCAUCGGACAGUUCCCCCACGGCUGACUUGGGGAUGAUCUCUGAACAGGGGAUCGGGAGGGCCUGUGAGCCCUGCUGUGGUUACUCCCCAUUGCCAACUGGAUUAAACCUGGAGCCAACUAAGACACGCCUCUAGACAAGCCUGCGAGAAUGUUUCCAGGCAGGAUUAAUUGAAGGAGGGCCCGCAUGCAGAGUGGGCAGCACCCUCGGCCUGCAGCUGCGUUGCCUGCUUGCCUUUGCUUCUGGCUAGCGAGUGCAUCUGCUCUGUUACAUCGUUGUCGUCCUUCACCGACAUCACAGCCCAGCUCCUUCUUCCAUUGUGGACCAAAGAGCAGCAACUUUCCAGGAAUCCUUCAGUCCUUCAGUACCAGGCUGGGGCAGCUGAGGCAUCCAGUUCUGUUGACUGGGCAACCACCACGCUCUCAACCUUUUGAGAAUGCAGCCAGCUCUUGUGGCACUAUGCAGCUUUGAUGGGUUGCAAGGCAUUCUAAGGGAUCACCACGUACAAUACGUAUUCAUUCAGUUCAGUUCCUCCAGAAAGCCCCGCCUAAUUCAGCCAUCAGAGCAUAGCCGUGCUGGGCUCGGGACUCAAGUCUCCUGUCGGCAGAUUUCUCCCCUCAUCACCCUGCUGUCUUCUGCAAUGCAACUCAUGUCACUCAUAGUAAGAGUUGGGACCUGCUACAGCUCUGUGAGGAGAGGACAGUCCAUAGCCCAAUAACAGACAAGGUCAUGGGGGUGGGAAGGUGUGAAUGUUCUGACCAUAAAAUAGC